rnacentral:rRNA from 1 species
GCUUACGGCCACACCGCCUGGUUCAGCCCGAUCUCGGAAGCUAAGAUAGGUUGGGCCUGGUUAGUAUUUGGAUGGGAGACCGCCUGGGAAUACCAGGUGCUGUAAGCU